rnacentral:rRNA from 1 species
ACGUACACUCCUGCGGGAGGCAGCAGUGGGGAAUAUUGCACAAUGGGCGCAAGCCUGAUGCAGCCAUGCCGCGUGUAUGAAGAAGGCCUUCGGGUUGUAAAGUACUUUCAGCGGGGAGGAAGGCAAUACGGUUAAUAACCGUGUUGAUUGACGUUACCCGCAGAAGAAGCACCGGCUAACUCCGUGCCAGCAGCCGCGGUAAUACGGAGGGUGCAAGCGUUAAUCGGAAUUACUGGGCGUAAAGCGCACGCAGGCGGUCUGUCAAGUCGGAUGUGAAAUCCCCGGGCUCAACCUGGGAACUGCAUUCGAAACUGGCAGGCUUGAGUCUUGUAGAGGGGGGUAGAAUUCCAGGUGUAGCGGUGAAAUGCGUAGAGAUCUGGAGGAAUACCGGUGGCGAAGGCGGCCCCCUGGACAAAGACUGACGCUCAGGUGCGAAAGCGUGGGGAGCAAACAGGAUUAGAAACCCGUGUAGUCCCAUGAU